UCCCUGGUAGCUCAAAUGGUAAAGUGUCUGCCUGCAAUGCAGGAGACCCCCGUUCAAUUUCUGGGUCAGGAAG
rnacentral:tRNA from 1 species